GAGGGUAUAGUUUAGUGGUAGAGUGCAUGCCUAGCAUGCACAGUGUCUUGGGUUCAAUCCCCAGUACCUCUA
rnacentral:tRNA from 1 species